UACACAUGCAAGUCGAACGGUAACAGGUCUUCGGAUGCUGACGAGUGGCGAACGGGUGAGUAAUACAUCGGAACGUGCCCAGUAAUGGGGGAUAGCUCGGCGAAAGCCGGAUUAAUACCGCAUACGCCCUGAGGGGGAAAGUGGGGGAUCGCAAGACCUCACGUUAUUGGAGCGGCCGAUGGCUGAUUAGCUAGUUGGUAGGGUAAAGGCCUACCAAGGCGACGAUCAGUAGCUGGUCUGAGAGGACGAUCAGCCACACUGGGACUGAGACACGGCCCAGACUCCUACGGGAGGCAGCAGUGGGGAAUUUUGGACAAUGGGGGAAACCCUGAUCCAGCAAUGCCGCGUGUGCGAAGAAGGCCUUCGGGUUGUAAAGCACUUUUGUCAGGGAAGAAAUCCUUUGGGCUAAUACCCUAGGGGGAUGACGGUACCUGAAGAAUAAGCACCGGCUAACUACGUGCCAGCAGCCGCGGUAAUACGUAGGGUGCAAGCGUUAAUCGGAAUUACUGGGCGUAAAGCGUGCGCAGGCGGUUGUGUAAGACAGGUGUGAAAUCCCCGGGCUUAACCUGGGAAUUGCAUUUGUGACUGCACGACUAGAGUGUGUCAGAGGGGGGUGGAAUUCCACGUGUAGCAGUGAAAUGCGUAGAUAUGUGGAGGAACACCAAUGGCGAAGGCAGCCCCUGGGAUAACACUGACGCUCAUGCAC
rnacentral:rRNA from 1 species